rnacentral:misc_RNA from 1 species
GCCAAAUUUCCUGCACCAUGUAAUAGAUCAUGUGGUCAAGUAAAGUUUUGAUGAAUGCAUGUUUUGCAGCCUUUAACCCAGAAUAUUAUAAGAGAAAUAAAUUUAAUGAUCCACUCUUCAAUAAAUCAAAAUGACAAUAUAUAGCAGACUGCUAAGCCAACAGUUCAAAUGUUCAAUGGAAGGGAAAGAAGGCAUUGACCAAAUUACCGACCUUAAAGGCCUUCAACAGCAAUCAUCAAUUCAUUUCAUGAUAAUAGUAAGAUAUUACUAGUUGCUUUAUUGGCAACAAAAACAGGUACACUCAAUGAUA